rnacentral:rRNA from 1 species
GAUGAACGCUAGCGGCAGGCCUAACACAUGCAAGUCGAGGGGUAGUUGUCUUCGGACAAUGAGACCGGCGCACGGGUGCGUAACGCGUAUGCAAUCUACCUUAUACUAAGGGAUAGCCCAGAGAAAAUUUGGAUUAAUACCUUAUAGGAUAUCAGAAUGGCAUCAUUUAGAUAUUAAAGAUUUAUUGGUAUAAGAUGAGC